rnacentral:rRNA from 1 species
GACGAACGCUGGCGGCGUGCCUAAUACAUGCAAGUCGAGCGAAGUUUUUCUGGUGCUUGCACUAGAAAAACUUAGCGGCGAACGGGUGAGUAACACGUAAAGAACCUGCCUCAUAGACUGGGACAACUAUUGGAAACGAUAGCUAAUACCGGAUAACAGUAUUUCUCGCAUGAGAGAUAUUUAAAAGUUGGUUAUGCUAACACUAUGAGAUGGCUUUGCGGUGCAUUAGCUAGUUGGUGGGGUAAAGGCCCACCAAGGCGACGAUGCAUAGCCGACCCUGAGAGGGUGAUCGGGCCACACUGGGGACUGAGACCACGGGCCCCAGACUCCCUACGGGGAGGGCCAGCCAGUUAGGGGAAUUCUUUCCCGCAAAUGGGGCGAAAAGCCCUGGACGGGAAGCCAACCGCCCGCGUAAAG